UUUAAUCAUGUCAAGGUACACAUAGGUGUAAAUAAGCCACCUUAUGACAGCUAUCUCCACUUCAACAACGUUCCACCGAGAAAGAGAGAUAGUUUUAAAAAAAUGUUGCAAAGUUAGUGGAAUGAAUAAUAAGUGUGCUCCCUCAGCCCACCACCCUUUGCUCCCUACCUUUUCAACCACUACCUCCACCAUCUUCGAUUCUUUAAGGCUACUAGCCAACACUCCUUGCCUUCAUUCUAUGUUCCUUCAGCCACCAAAGUGAGGAGAAUUCAUUAAGCUGCUGCCACAUUCAAGUGUAUCUAUCCACUGAUUCAAUCAACAACAACAGCCAUCAACAACAAACAAUCAAGGUCAAGCGCGAGAGUAAGAACUACACAAGGAGUUAGAGUACCUUAGCAAAACUUUGCUAUCAGGUUGAGCUGUGAUGGGCGAUGAAGUGUUGCUGAGUGGAGUUUUUGUCGAACUUAAAGUAGGCUCAGAAAGGAUACAUGUCUUCAUACAUGUAUCUCAGUUAUGCAUUCCGCUAUAAUCACUGAUUAUUUCAGUUACGCCUUCCGUUGCAAACUCUGAUAAUGUUUUAGCCAAGCCCCUAACGAUGCCUUUUUCCUUUUAAGGAAUAUAACGCGUAUACAAGUUCUUUGAGUACCCUUUUUAUGCGAACUAUGCAUUUUUCCUUUUUAAGGAAUAUUUCACGCGUA